CUUCCACAUGGCUGUUGAUCACCAGAGGAAGUCAGAACUGGAACUCAAGCAGCCAUCAGGGAGGAAGAGUUGAGGAGCUUUGUGUGAUGGUCUCCGGAAGGGGAGCUGGGCAGCAUGGCCAUCUGAUGGUCUCUGGAAGGGCAGCCUCUCUAGCACAGGCACUCAGAAGAGGCCAGGAUCAGGAGUCGCAGGACCUGGGAACAGCAGCAUGGAAAUGAGCAGACUGUGAGAGCGAGAUCACAUAGAGACAUGCUUCCUUUCUGGCUAUACCAAGGACCUCUGCUGAGCACUUUCCUGUUGCUGCCUCUCAGGUACAAACUGGUGCCUUCCCAGGGUGCACCAGACAUCCUGGAGUUUACCCAACCACCUCUUGGUGCCUCCUCUUCUCACCAACCAAGACUUGAAGGGAUAUCUGGAGUCAGAAACAGAUAUGGGAUGGGCCAGGUAGGCAAUGGCUCUGGGCGUCGAGCUGUAAGGAGGUUAGAUAUUUCUGUCCUCCAUUCACCAGGGAGCUCAGAUUUCCCUACACUGCAGACUGGUCUACCGCAGUGUUCUGUAGUGGAAAUAGAAAAUUGUACAGCCA